UACGUAGGGUGCAAGCGUUGUCCGGAAUUAUUGGGCGUAAAGAGCUCGUAGGCGGUCUGUCGCGUCGGCUGUGAAAACUCGGGGCUCAACUCCGAGCUUGCAGUCGAUACGGGGCAGGCUAGAGUUCGGCAGGGGGAGACUGGAAUUCCUGGUGUAGCGGUGAAAUGCGUAGAUAUCGGGAGGAACACCAGUGGCGAAGGCGACUUCCUGGCCUGUUCUUGACGCUGAGGCGCGAAAGCUAGGGGAGCAAACGGG
rnacentral:rRNA from 1 species